GAGUACUGGUUUGAAUAGACAGACCAGCCAAGAUUGAAGUUCCAAGUGUAACAGUAACACUCUUGCCCCCCUGUUACCAUAAGCUCAAUCCGAACUUUGCCCUUACUGACAAGAUUAACCAUCUGACUCUUGUACCAAUCGGGGACCACAAAGUCACUACUCCACUUUUCCACACCUCGGAAUUCUACUCAAAAGUUCCAUUAAGUUAUCACAACCGCGCCAACCGUGUACAGUGCACGCAAGAGUGUCUGCCUACUCUGCAACGAGACCUCAAAGGUGCCAGCUGCAUCGUAACACAAGUCCUCCCACCAGGCCACAAUUCAUUCGACGGUCUGAACUCUUGACUUGACAGCACUACUACCAUCCAUUGCUUGAUGAGGAGUGAGGAGGGCGGUGUGAAGGGAUUGCUCGAGUCUCCAAGAGGCCGGCUAUCAAUCUUUACUAAGGUGCUCCCCGACCCGCUCUUCCGGAAGGUAAUAUACUUUGUAUGAUAAUGUAUG
rnacentral:lncRNA from 1 species